GACGGAGGGGGCUAGCGUUGUUCGGAAUUACUGGGCGUAAAGAGCGCGUAGGCGGUUUAACAAGUUGGAAGUGAAAGCCCGGGGCUUAACCUCGGAAUUGCUUUCAAAACUGUUAAGCUAGAGUGUGGUAGAGGAUGAUGGAAUUCCUAGUGUAGAGGUGAAAUUCUUAGAUAUUAGGAGGAACACCGGUGGCGAAGGCGGUCAUCUGGGCCAUUACCGACGCUGAGGCGCGAAAGCGUGGGGAGCAAACAGG
rnacentral:rRNA from 1 species